GGGGGUUUAGCUCAGUUGGCAGAGCGUUCGCUUAGCAUGGCCAAUUGUGGUGUAUGAUCUGCGAAAGGUCGCGUGUUCGACUCAUGCAGUCUCCA
rfam:Pseudozyma flocculosa PF-1 unplaced genomic scaffold scaffold00028, whole genome shotgun sequence.